rnacentral:rRNA from 1 species
UACGUAGGGUGCAAGCGUUUGUCCGGAAUUAUUGGGCGUAAAGAGCUCGUAGGCGGUUUGUCGCGUUCGGCUGUGAAAACUCGGGGCUCAACCCCGAGCCUGCAGUCGAUACGGGCAGACUAGAGUGCGGUAGGGGAGACUGGAAUUCCUGGUGUAGCGGUGGAAUGCGCAGAUAUCAGGAGGAACACCGGUGGCGAAGGCGGGUCUCUGGGCAGUAACUGACGCUGAGGAGCGAAAGCGUGGGGAGCGAACAGG